GGGGCGGAGAGGUCCUGGGAGGUACAGCUCAACCCGGGGUGGACGGGAAAUGACACCCUCUGUGCCCAACCCCACAGAGCAGCCCCCCUCCUUGGAUUUGGUCUUCUUGGUGGUGAUCGUGCCUCUGGUGCUCCUGGCAGGCCUGGCGUGGUGGCUCUGGAAGUGCUGGAAAACACACUUGAGACCUCAGUGCACGGACUUCCUUCUGGAGAGAGAUCUCAGCAGCCCAGGCCCCGGGAUUUACCUAAACCCAGCUCAUUGGUCAUGUCCUGGUAACUCUGCAUCAAGGAGUCUCACUUGUGGGGAUCCCUGGGUGGCUCAGUCACCUGCCUUCAGCCCAGGGUGUGAUCCUGGAGUCCCAGGAUCGAGCUCCACAUCAGUCUUCCUGCAGGGAGCCUGCUUCUCCUGUCUGUGUCUUUGUCUCUGUCUCUGUCUCUCUCUGUGUCUCUCAUGAAUAAAUAAAUAAAAUCUUUA
rnacentral:lncRNA from 1 species